UCUUAAUUUUCACAAGCAUUCAGAAAAUAUUUGUUUCAUCGAAACUGAACUUUGGGUUGAAAUAGACUUCAGUGAAAACUAUUUUUUCCAUGCUAUUUAUUUCAUAACUAUAAAAGUAAAGUUUUUUCAGUUCUAAUAUUUGUUUAGCAAAAAGUGAAUGAUGUAAAAUUAUAAUUUAUGUAUAAAUAAUAAAUAACUUAAUAAAUAAUAAAUUUUUAUAUAAUAAAUGAAAAUAAUAUACUUAUAUUUCUAUAUAAUUAAAAAUUUUAAUAUAAAAUAACUAAAUUAUUUUUUUUAUAUAUAACUUAUAAUAAAACAACAAUAAAAUUAGAAAAUAAAAAAAUAUAAAUACUUAACUAAUCAAUUUUCAUUAUAUUUAUACUAAAUCUUAACUAAUCAAAUUUUAUCACAAACUAAAUUAAAAAAAGUAAUUAGUGACAUAAUUAAAUAUAUUUAACUAUAACUAGCAU
rnacentral:lncRNA from 1 species